rnacentral:lncRNA from 1 species
AAUUCUACAUCCGCGGAAAGCCAUACUGCACCUCACGGGGUCUUACUAUGCCCGGCGGCAAGCAGAAUAUAAGUCGUAGGACCGGCCGAUCCUACGCCUAGGGCCGUGUCCCCCCUAGAAAGGGACUGGGCUCCACCCACCCAGAAGGCUACUAUGUGCACAAAGGCCGAUGUUCAACCCCAUCGACUAUAGGUGUCCUGCAGAUACUGCCAAGCCAUGCAUAAAUGCCAUAAUGCACCCUCCCAAUACUCUACUAAAAACGAGUAUAAUCAAGACUACCACUCACUCGAUCAUGACCCAAUCAUAAACUAACAUCAGGGUUAGGAGUGAGGGUCAAGGAAGUGCAAUACAACUCAAUAUACCACUAAAAAGGCUCUACAAAUCUUUAAAAUAGAGGAAAUGAAAUCAAUUUACAAAAGAAAUAAUUUCACAAUUCGGAAUCAAUUUGAUUACUCAUCAACCCCUCAUAAUUCCUCUCAAUGCUCCCUCAAAUGCAUGUACAGAAUAAUCAAGCAUGGAGAAUCAAGAUUAUAGAGGAAUCUACUACAACAAUUAAUCAAUAAGCUCAGUGGAAUCAAGUCACACUUGGCAACAUUUAUGAAAAUGAAUAAGGAAUGCGCUCAUGGUGCAAAGUACAAACUCCCACUUACCUGCCGAUCCGGCACGGCCUCGAUACGCCUCCAAAACUUUAUGGUAGGCAGUAGGGGGCUUCUUCUUCUUGCUCCCUAACUUCUUGCCCAACUGUGACAUGCAUUUACAAUACAUUUAGUCUUGUAUCAAGGGUCAUAUUCUACGUGCCAAUUAUAACAUAGGAAAAUUUAAUUGAUUCAACUUCUCCGUUUCCUAAAUCUUUUCUUUUCUUUCUUCUUUUUCUUUUUAAUUAAUUAACUCACCAUUUAUGUGUAUUAGGAACUUCCUUGCAUGAGUACAAGGUCCCUUUUAGCUUGAUCUAGGCUUAAUACCCUAUUAUAGCAUGAAAUCCCCUAUUUUCCACCCGGAUGAACAUUAACCCGGACCGACAGCCGGUUACUUCAUCCCGGGUUUGAUCCACUUUCCAGACUCCAAAUUUGAUGAAAUUUUUAUCUAACAUCCUACGCUCAUAGAGGAUUCCAGAAUAGUAAUAUGCAUCACUAUCGGAGGCCGUUUGACCCCCGAAAUAAUUCGCCGAAGUUGAGACUUCGACACAGUUUUUCCGUAGUGCCGAAAAAAUUUGUCGAAAUCCGAUUCUUCCUCUUUUAACCACCUCUACAACCCUUAUCCGACCCCUCUAGACUACAUCCACCCUUUGUAUAGCCUAAUAUCAUCAAAAGACUAGAUAGGAAUGGAUAUUUACUUUUUUCUUUUUGAAAAUCGAGGUCCUUGCGUAGAGGGGAAGGAGAUCUACACUUUUUCCUUCAGCUGGCAGCGCAACCGGGAUCUCCUUCCUUUUCUUUUUCUUCUUCUUCUUCUCCUUCCUUUCUUCCUUUCCUUUCCUCUCCUUCCUUUUCUUCCUCUCUGUUGCCGUCUGAGAACCUCCUCCCUCUUUCUUUCUCUGCUUCAUUCCGUGAGCCAGCUCAAACCCUCCAAUUAAAUCACAUCAAGAUACUAUUCACCCUUUCUUUAAUAUUAUUAAAUUUUCAUUUUGCCCCUAACACUUCAACAUAUCUACUGUUAUGCCAUUAACUUUUGAUUUCUUUCCAAUUUUACCCUUACCACUUCAACGUAUCUACAACUAUGCCAUUAUCUUUUGAUUCCUUCCAAUUUUACCCCUAAUAUCAAUUUUAAAGGACUAUUCUAUCCCUUUUUAUAUAAAAAAUUUUUUGGGGUUAUUACAUAAGGACUCGAAGAUAAAUCCUCCUUUAUCAUUAAUAAGUCCUAAGGACUUCAUCAUAUAAGAGUUCAUUU